GCAUUUCUCUAAUCGAGCUGUAACACUUGCUGCUGCGGUCCAUGGCUCCAUUCCUUGAAGCCCACGAGACCAGGAACCCUUGGAUUGAGAAAAAACCUUCAAUUGGGAGGAUACUUCUUAUCUCAUUUCUAGGGGCCCAUCCGGGAUUUCUCCACAGCAGCAUCAACAUGGCAGCAAAUUCUGAAAGUUUCCUCUCCUGGC
rnacentral:lncRNA from 1 species